GACGAACGCUGGCGGCGUGCUUAACACAUGCAAGUCGAACGGUAAGGCCCUUCGGGGUACACGAGUGGCGAACGGGUGAGUAACACGUGGGUGAUCUGCCCUGCACUUCGGGAUAAGCCUGGGAAACUGGGUCUAAUACCGGAUAGGACCACUGCCUGCAUGGGUGGUGGUGGAAAGCUUUUGCGGUGUGGGAUGGGCCCGCGGCCUAUCAGCUUGUUGGUGGGGUGAUGGCCUACCAAGGCGACGACGGGUAGCCGGCCUGAGAGGGUGACCGGCCACACUGGGACUGAGAUGCGGCCCAGACUCCUACGGGAGGCAGCAGUGGGGAAUAUUGCACAAUGGGCGCAAGCCUGAUGCAGCGACGCCGCGUGAGGGAUGACGGCCUUCGGGUUGUAAACCUCCUUCAGCACCGACGAAGCGCAGGUGACGGUAGGUGCAGAAGAAGGACCGGCCAACUACGUGCCAGCCGCCGCUGUAA
rnacentral:rRNA from 1 species